AUGAGCACGAGAGGGGAGAUGUCUCCCCCUCGCCGCCGCCGCCGCACCUCGUCGCCGCCGGCCUCUCUGCCAGACGACGAGGACCUGCUCCAGGAGAUUCUCCUCCGCCUCCCGCCGCGGCCUUCCUCCCUCCCCCGGGCCUCCCUCGUCUGCAAGCUCUGGCGCCGCCUCGUCGCCGAACCCCAAUUCCAACGCCGCUUCCGCGACCACCACCACGGCAAGCCUCCUCUCCUUGGCUUCUUCCUCCAAGACAACAUCUCCUGUCCGUUUGUUCCAAUGCUGGAUCCACCAGAUCGCAUCCCCGGCGCUCACUUCUCCAUGCCUCCCCACAAGCGCUACCGCAUCAUGGACUGCCGCCACGGACUUGUCCUUUUCCGCAGCCAAAGGCGGUCGCCCCGCCUACUUGUGUGGGACCCCGUCGCCCGCGAGAAGCGCCGCCUCAUCUUCCCACCGGAGCUGGACAACGGCGAGAUGUGCAUCAUCAACGGGGCGGUGCUUCGCCCUGCCCGCGGCCGUUCAAGCAUAGCCCAAGACAAAGAAUAUACAAGAGUUUCCGGAUGCCUUUUCUCAUCGGAGACCGGUGUAUGGAGCAACAUCAAAACACUGCAGCUGGAUUUGGCCAAUAGGUGUAUGCCACAGCCAAGUACUUUGAUUGGCAAUUCCAUUUGCUGGUUAGAUACGGUGCAUCAUGACCAUCCUCAGUAUGCCAUACUUGAGUUUGAUCUGGAUACGCAGAGCCUAUCCGUGACAGAGCUGCCACCACACCUAGAAGCCGGAUAUGACCAAUUAAGGAUUAUUAAACCGGGCGAAGACGGUGGCCUUGGCUUCAUCCAUCUCUCACAUUUCCACGCGCAGAUAUGGAAGAGGAAGCCUGAUUGUAAUGGUUUGGCUGUAUGGGUGAUCGACAGAGCUAUUGAAUUCAAGGAACUUAGAUCAAAUUGCAAGGGCUACUCCCUCACUUUAGUUGGGUUUGUCGAGGAGAGUAAUGCAAUCCUUGUACUGACAGCUUCUGGCGUCUUCAUGGUAUAUCCCCAGCCAAUGGAGUUUAAGAAACUCUCCAAAUUGUGGGUCUUCUGUCUCUAUUAUCCAUUUGCAUCUUUCUAUCCUGCAGCACCUGAUGCAUAA
rnacentral:rRNA from 1 species